GGGAAAGGAUAGCGAGCCAAGGCCCGUUUAGGCAGAGGGAAUUUCUUCCCUGGAUUAGACCAGGGUUCCCGCCUGAAGUCCACUAGAUGAUCAGAAUGGGGUAAUAUGUUGCAACAGCAGAAGGUUUGCUACAUCUCCCCCAAGGUGGAAUUAUAAAGAAUAUUUCAGAACUGCAAGAGUUGCCUCGACACAGUCAAUAAGCAUGCGCAAUAGCUAGCACAUUGCAGCAAAUGUCACCACAACAUUUCAUAUACUGGCACGGUGGCAUUUCAUAUUGGAUCACAUGCAAAUGGAUGUUAGCUGUAACAGCUGUUUCUUAUUGGACAUAAUGACAGAAAAUGUUUCCGAAAUACGGUCUGUGUUACGUGGCAUCUGCAGAGUAAGCAUUCCUAAACACGUAGAACAACACUGCUUUUCUUAAUCAAAUGACAACGAUGCAGUUAAUUACGGGCAGAGCCUGUAACAGAACUCUCCUACUCUAACACUGGCGCUGAUUAAACCAUUUACAACACACUGAAA